GUUUUAAUAAUUUAAAUAAAAUAUUGGUCUUGUAAACCAAAAAUAAGAAAAUCUUUUAAAACU
rnacentral:tRNA from 2 species